rnacentral:rRNA from 1 species
AGUGAACGCUGGCGGUAGGCCUAACACAUGCAAGUCGAACGGCAGCACAGUAAGAGCUUGCUCUUACGGGUGGCGAGUGGCGGACGGGUGAGGAAUACAUCGGAAUCUACUUUUUCGUGGGGGAUAACGUAGGGAAACUUACGCUAAUACCGCAUACGACCUACGGGUGAAAGCAGGGGAUCUUCGGACCUUGCGCGAUUGAAUGAGCCGAUGUCGGAUUAGCUAGUUGGCGGGGUAAAGGCCCACCAAGGCGACGAUCCGUAGCUGGUCUGAGAGGAUGAUCAGCCACACUGGAACUGAGACACGGUCCAGACUCCUACGGGAGGCAGCAGUGGGGAAUAUUGGACAAUGGGCGCAAGCCUGAUCCAGCCAUACCGCGUGGGUGAAAAGGCCUUCGGGUUGUAAAGCCCUUUUGUUGGGAAAGAAAAGCAGCAGGUUAAUACCCCGCUGUUCUGACGGUACCCAAAGAAUAAGCACCGGCUAACUUCGUG